rnacentral:rRNA from 1 species
AUUGAACGCUGGCGGCAUGCCCUACACAUGCAAGUCGAACGGCAGCGGACCUUCGGGUGCCGGCGAGUGGCGAACGGGUGAGUAAUGCAUCGGAACGUGCCAUUGAGUGGGGGAUAACGUAGCGAAAGUUACGCUAAUACCGCAUAUUCUGUGAGCAGGAAAGCAGGGGACCGCAAGGCCUUGCGCUCUUUGAGCGGCCGAUGUCAGAUUAGCUAGUUGGUGAGGUAAAGGCUUACCAAGGCGACGAUCUGUAGCGGGUCUGAGAGGAUGAUCCGCCACACUGGAACUGAGACACGGUCCAGACUCCUACGGGAGGCAGCAGUGGGGAAUUUUGGACAAUGGGCGCAAGCCUGAUCCAGCCAUGCCGCGUGAGUGAAGAAGGCCUGGUUGUAA